rnacentral:rRNA from 1 species
CCUACGGGAGGCAGCAGUGGGGGAUAUUGCACAAUGGGGGGAACCCUGAUGCAGCGACGCAGCGUGGGUGAAGAAGCGCCUCGGCGCGUAAAGCUCUGUCAGCAGGGAAGAAAAUGACGGUACCUGCAGAAGAAGCCCCGGCUAAAUACGGGCCAGCCGCCGCGGUAAUACGUCGGGGGCAAGCGUUAUCCGGCAUUUAUGGGUGUAAAGGGGGCGCAGACGGCGAUGCAAGCCAGGAGGGAAAGCCCGGGGCCCAACCCCGGGACUGCUCUUGGAACUGCGUGGCUGGAGUGCAGGAAGGGCAGGCGGAAUUCCUGGUGUAGCGGUGAAAUGCGUAGAUAUCAGGAGGAACACCGGUGGCGAAGGCGGCCUGCGGGACUGCAACUGACGUUGAGGCCCGAAAGCGUGGGGAGCAAACAGGAUUAGAUACCCCGGUAGUC